CAGGAGACCAGCUCUGCUCUGCGGCCGCAGGUCAGAAGGUGGCUUCCACCCCCGGGGGGUUUCGUGAAGGUUAACGUUGACGGUGAUGUUGCUAGAUCUCAUCAUGGCGGAGCAGUCGCAGCCAUGUGUCGGGAUCAGACAUGCCUCUAUCUAGGGUCAUCAGCGGUGGUUUAUCGGGGAAUCAAUGAUCCUCUAUUUCUGGAGACAUAUGCAUGCCGAGAAGCCUUGGCAUUAGCAGAUGACCUCGCGACCCGGGAGAUUUGUGCGGCUUCAGAUUGCCAGGAGGCGAUCAACGACAUCAACAGAGGGACAGGAGGUCCAAAUGCUUCUAUAGUACAUGAAAUAACGACCCGGUGUACCGGUUUUAUUUCUAGUUCUUUCAUACAUGAACGUAGGAACUUUAAUUUCGAGGCUCAUAAUCUCGCCAAGUUUGCUUGUAAUCUUGAAGUAGGUAGACAUCUUUGGUUGGGUAAUCCUCAUGACCCAAACCUUGUACCUAUGAUGAUUCCGUUGGAUGAAUAA
rnacentral:rRNA from 1 species